UUCUUGCCGGCACAAUAAAGGUACAUUUUCAAGAUGUUGUUCCAUGUUAUUUCGAUUUUUGACCAUAAGAUUCUUGAUUCUUGAAGGGAUCGAAUUUUUCCAAGUCAAGUGAGUUUCACCAGUGGUAUUUAAGUCCUUGGUCGUGGUUUUAAGAUGCUUGAACAAUAUUCUUGAAGGAAUAUCAUUUGUGAUAUUGGCGAGGUUUAUGGAGUGUUGAUCAAAAUGAGGCAGGUACUAUUGAUAAGGAUCAGACGAAGAGAGAGAGAAGCUGGUGAUAGAGGCUGGUGAAGUGCAAACUACCAAGACUACUUCCAAGUAAUCUUCUCUUUAUUCUGUCAGUUAAUCAUUAAUAAAAAGAAUAUGUACUCUUUUUUUUUCUUUUUUUUUUUUUUAAUGGGAAGAGAUGGUAUAUGUUGUCACCCUAUCAAUUCAUGCUUGGGUUUAAAUUCUUGUGUUGAUAGGACAUGACGAUAAUCCGGUCUCACCACUAGAUUUUAAAUUAAUGUGAAAGACUUACAUUAAGCAGC
rnacentral:lncRNA from 1 species